rnacentral:pre_miRNA from 1 species
GAAGUACUCCCUCCGUCUCAAAAUUUUUGUCUUAAAUUUAUUUAGACAUGAAUGUAUCUAGUCAAGUUUUAGUAUUUAGAUACAUUCAUUUGUAGACAAAGCUAAGACAAGAAUUUUGAGGCGGAGGGAGUAUAAU